rnacentral:rRNA from 1 species
GAUGAACGCUGGCGGCACGCCUAACACAUGCAAGUCGAACGGAACCUAGAAGUGCUUGCACUUCGAAAGUUUAGUGGCGGACGGGUGAGUAACACGUGAGCAACCUGCCUUUCAGAGGGGAAUAACGUUUGGAAACGAACGCUAAUACCGCAUAAAAUAGUUUUAUGGCAUCAUAGAAUUAUCAAAGAUUUAUCGCUGAAAGAUGGGCUCGCGUCUGAUUAGAUAGUUGGUGAGGUAAUGGCUCACCAAGUCGACGAUCAGUAGCCGGACUGAGAGGUUGAACGGCCACAUUGGGACUGAGACACGGCCCAGACUCCUACGGGAGGCAGCAGUGGGGGAUAUUGCACAAUGGGGGAAACCCUGAUGCAGCGAUGCCGCGUGAGGGAAGAAGGUUUUCGGAUUGUAAACCACUGUCUUUAGGGAAGAAAGAAAUGACGGUACCUAAGGAGGAAGCCACGGCUAACUAUGUGCCAGCAGCCGCCGCAGUAAU